GAAGCUUCGGAACCGGUAUUGAGUUCUUCUAACUACUGGGAAAUCGGAUGCUUUGUUUUGAGACUACUUAUUUUUGAAAGCAAACCAAAGGCAUUAAAGAGCAACCUAAACCAAUUACAGUAGGGUUGUUAGAUAAAAUAUAGGAUGCCCAGUUAAACUUGAAUUUUAGAUACAAAUAGUGAAGUAUGUCCCAAAUAUUGCAUGGGUCACAUUUAUUAUUUUAAAAAUGAAAUAUCUGGGAUAUACUAAAUUAUUUGGUGUUUAUCUGAAUUCAAAUUUAACUGGGCACUCCGCAUUUUUAUCUCCUGAAUCUGCAAGAGGGUUCAGUUAAUGAAUCAAAAUUGGCAAACCUGCAAUAAGUGGCAAAUCACUCCUGGCGGUAAUCUCCUUUCCUUAUUGAAAAGGGAAAGAAUCACAAGUUUCUACUAUAGUAAAAACUUUAUCACUAUUAAAGGCUGAUUCACCUGUGUUAACUAGCAUGUCUUUCAAAAUACAGUUGCCCCAGAUGGAGAGUGACACAUGAAACUUUAAGUUCAUAUGGGAAGGUAAAUUACCUUACCUGAAUCUUUUCCUCCUAUUAGCUAGUGCUCCAAGUGAAAGAAGCGUGUAUUUUUGUUUUUUUGUUGUGAAGGGUUCUUGUUUAAUACAACUGAAAAGAAUGCCUAUACAAAGAAUUGACAUGAAAAAGCAUUGAUUCAACACUCAUGAGCUAGGUUCUGAAAGGUGUAAAAAAAUUACCUGAACAUUUUUAGAAAUUGGAAACUACAACUAAAACUGAUAAAAAUCCCUAUUAACAUUUGUGAAGAAUCUUGAUAAUGUGUCCUGAAUUGGUGGGUUCUUGGUCUCACUGACUUCAAGAAUGAAGCCGCGGACCCUGGUGGUGAGUGUUACAGUUCUUAAAGGUAGCGUGUCCGGAGUUUGUUCUUUCUGAUGUUCGGACAUGUUUGGAGUUUCUUCCUCCUGGUGGGUUCAGUGGUUUCGCUGGCUUCAGGAGUGAAGCUGCAGACCUUGGCAGUGAGUGUUACAGCUCUUAAGGUGGCGCGUCCGGAGUUGUUCAUUCCUCCCAGUGGGUUCGGGUCUCACUGGCCUCAGAAAUGAAGCUGCAAACCUUCACGGAAGCAAAGAGCAAGCUGAGCUGGAGAUACAUUUACUUUGGGUUUAGUGGGAUAUUUUUGU
rnacentral:lncRNA from 10 species